rnacentral:rRNA from 1 species
UACGUAGGGUGCAAGCGUUGUCCGGAAUUAUUGGGCGUAAAGAGCUCGUAGGCGGUCUGUCGCGUCUGCUGUGAAAACCUAGGGCUUAACUCUGGGCCUGCAGUGGGUACGGGCAGACUAGAGUGCGGUAGGGGAGAUUGGAAUUCCUGGUGUAGCGGUGGAAUGCGCAGAUAUCAGGAGGAACACCAAUGGCGAAGGCAGAUCUCUGGGCCGUAACUGACGCUGAGGAGCGAAAGCAUGGGGAGCGAACAGG